AGGAGGCUGUUGUCCGGCCGCUGACCCUCCCCCCCUCUCCCUAACCCUACCCUUGCCAAAGAUCCCUUCCUCUCUGGCAAGGGCAGGGUUAGGGAGAGAGAACCCCUUGUCUGCCCUAAUUCUCAAGAGUCCUGUUCUGUAGACUCAGUGAAUCCCCAAGACGUCGACAUCCUCCUCCUUGAGUAAUAUCCUGCUCCCCAAUUCACUGAUUGGUGUGUGUGUGUGUGUGUGUUACACUCACUUUUUCUUUCCAUUAUAAAUAACAGGUACUCCAGCAGGAGGAGGGAGUGCCCCGUCUCUCUGCUGAGAAGGAACAGCUGAAGCAGCAGGACCAGAAGAAGGACGAGCAGGUGUCCCGUCUGCAGCAAGAGGUGCAAGAGCUGAAGGCACAAGUGUCCCUACUUCUCUCCGCUGAGAAUCAAUGGCUGAAGCAACAGAGCCAAGAGAAGAACGAGGAGGAGACGUCCCGUCUGCUUCAAGAGCUGGAGGGUCAAGGGUCUCCUCUGCAGCAGGAGGUGCAGGAUCUGAAGGCACAAGUGUCCUGUCUCUCUGAUCAGAACAAAGGCCUGAAGGAGCAAGUGUCCCGUCUCUCCGCUGAGAACCAACAGCUGAAGCAACAGUUCCAAGAAAGGGACAAGCAGGUGUCCCGUCUGCUUCAAGCGGUGCAAGAGCUGGAGGGGGAAGUGUCUCACCUGCAGCAGCAAAACCAGAGGAAGGAUGAGCAGAUGUCUCACCUGCAGCAGGAGGUGCAGGAGCACAAGAAGGGUCCCGAAGCCUCUGGAGCCCAGCAAACCACCAGAUGGCUUUCAUGGGUCCGAAGCCAGAUUCUUCCUGCCAAAGUCCAGAUCCGGAUCACUGGGAAGACAGGUGGCUCUGAGGAGAAGUUUCUAAAUUGUGUUUCAGAGCACCUGUCCCACAAAGGAGUCUCUCUGAAGGUGGAGAAGUUUAAGGAGACCUCGAAGGACCCCCUUCUGCUCUUCUGCCCCAUAGCUUCCCGCAUGGGCGCCGACAUCGAAAAUGCCCUUGAGGGGCUCAGUGGUGAGCAGAAGGUCCUCCUGGUGGUGAUGCACUUUGUUCAAAAGGACAACCCAGGGACCCCUGCGGACGCUGAGCACCAAGUGACCCAUCCGGCCGUGGUGGGGACCGUGCACACCCGCUACACCCUCAAGGACGGCUUCUACCCUUGUGAGAUGAACGAGGCGGCCGUGGCUGACGUGGCAGCUGCCCUCAAGGCCCUGGCUGAGGAUCAGUGA
rnacentral:lncRNA from 1 species